rnacentral:misc_RNA from 1 species
AACGCACAUUGCGCCCUUUGGUAUUCCGAAGGGCAUGCCUGUUCGAGCGUCAUUAUCACCCCUCAAGCCCUGUGCUUGGUGUUGGACGGCCUGGUCGGUGACACGACCCCUCCUAAAGACAAUGACGGCGGCCCGUGGAGCCCCCGGUACAAUGAGCUUCUUAACCGAGCACGUACCGGACGAGGGCGCCCCGGACCCGGUCUUCUCCCACUGGGAACUUUCUAAGUUUUGACCUCGGAUCAGGUAGGGAUACGCGCUGAACUUAA